UUUUCUAAUUUGUAGUAAUUUGCAAUCAACAAAUUGUAAAUAUUGUGUUUAUUUGAAAUAAAUUAUUAAAUUUUGAAAAUAAUGAUCAUACGAAAUUAAUAGAAAUCUCAAGGUUCAUUGCUUAACCAUUCAAUUUGUUUUCAUUGCAUGUCAAUAUGAGUACUACAAGUACAUCACAAAAUGUUUAUUACGAAGACGUUCCUUCAGGAAAACUAAACGAAGGCGAAUUUUUUUGUACAGAAAAAAUAGUGCCAAGGAAAAUAAAACCCCAAAAUAUAGUAAUAAGACUUAUGAACAGGGAAAUAUAUGGCUCUCGGAAACCGGGUUCACACUUUCAUGUUGUGCGGGAAUUUUAUCAAAAUGUUUUUCCAAAUUUAACUAUUGUUAAUGUAGAGAAACCACCAUGUUUCUUAAGAAAGUUUAGUCCUGAUGGGAAACACUUUAUAGCUUUUUCAGCGGAUCAAACAUCACUUGAGAUAUAUGAAUAUAGAGGUGCUGCUGCAGCAGGAGAUUUAGUAGCUGGUUACCCAUCAGAUUUAUUAAAUGCUGAUGCAGAUGCUCACCACAGAAUUAGGACACAUAUAUUCUACAGGUUUUUUAAGCCAAAAUUUACUGUUAAUGUGUGCCAACAAAGAAUCACUGGUAGACAAUUGCGGAAUGCAGGUCAGUUGCCUUUUAUGGAACAACAAUUAAACAGAGAGUGUAGCCUGUUCACUGAAGACGGAAGGUAUGUUAUUGUGGGGUCAGCUGCACACAUUCCUGAAGAUUUACGCCCACAUUUCUAUCACAUACAUAGUAAUAAUGAAGCUGUCACCCCAACUAUAAGGUCAGCAUUAGAAGAUUAUUCAUUACAUUUAGUUGACUUACAUCAUGGCAAAUUGUGUGACACAAAACACUUCAGGACUGAUAAAAUUUAUCUUUCACACAAUCAAGGAAUUUAUUUAUAUAAAGAAGUCUUAGCUGUUCUCUCUGUGCAGCACCAGACAAUUCAUUUAUUUCAAAUUGUUGAAGGGAUGUUAAUAGAAAUAAGAAAAAUCGGAAGAUUCUGCUAUGAUGAUGACCCCUUUCUUGUUGGUUCCGUAUUUGCGCCAAUUAUGAAUGAGAGACCUUUUCAUGAAGAGACAAUAAAUAGUUUAAAACAUAGACUUCUAGUGUUCUUAUUUAAAAGAGCCAAAACAAUAAGUGACGAAACUAAUGAUCCAUUGGAACUUAGAAAAUUUUAUAAAUAUUUUGAUAUGUUUAAAAGUUUAAGAAUGUGGAAGAUGCAAUUAUUGGAUGAGGAUCAUCUGUUUAUAAAAUAUGCAAGUGAGGAGGUUGUAACACUGCGAGUUGCUGAACCAAACAGUCAGUCCUCAUUUUUUGUCAUAUAUAACAUAAGUGAGAGUAAAAUAUUAGAAGUAUUUGAAAAUACUUCAGAAGGGCUGCUGCAAUUAUUUGAAAAUUACUGUGAUUGCUUUAGAAAUGCUAGACUAUGUGCCGAUUCUCAAUUUACUUGUUCUCCAUCAAAUAAUUUGUAUGCAAGGUUAACACAGCAAAGGUUCAAACAAACUAUAGUAAGAGCUAUCUAUGGAGGUCGUACAGAGGCAACUAAAAGGAUUUUGGCACAGUUACCCAUUAGUGCACAGUCUUACAGUGGCUCUCCAUACCUUGAUCUUGGUUUAUUUAGUUAUGAUGAUAAAUGGGUAUCUGUUAUGGAAAGGCCGAAAGCAUAUGGAGAAUAUCCGAUAAGGUUUUACGCGCGAGAUUCUGGACUCUUAAAAUUUAAAAUCUAUGCAGGAGUAUUAGGACAAUCGGUACCAGCAAGUGCAAGAAGACUCGUCGCAUUUACCUUCCAUCCAACUGAUCCCUUUGCCAUAAGUGUGCAAAGGACAAAUUCUGAAUACAUAGUGAAUUUCCACAUUAGAAAUGCUGUUUUUAGUUGACAUCCUUUCAUUUAUGUUCUGUUUGAUGUCACUCAUACAACAUUAUAGGUGAAUAUAUUUUGGUUACAUGCAGCUGUUGUAAUAAAAUUUGUACAUAAUAUAUGACUGGAAAAUGGUAUAUGAUUAUAUGUAUGUGUAUUGCUUCUAUAAGUACUACUAAUACUUUUGUUAAAAGCGAAUUGCAAAUAUAAAAGAACAAAUGUUUUUAGUUACUUUGCCAAAGUAAGUUUAACAGAGACUAAAUGUAUUGUUAUUUUGCAACUGAAUUACAAAUAUUGGUUGUUUCGUUAAUUUUAAGGAAAGCAAUGUGAUUACAAAUUAUUUUCUAAGUAUUAACUAUUAAGUACACUUCAAAAACUCGCUAAAAUGUGUAUAAUAGAUGGAACUAAAACCUUCUUUUACUAUGUACAUGACAUCCUAGUGGAAUGUCUAAUAAUGACAAUAAUAAUAAAAGUCAAGUUUAGAAAAUGGCCCCAUCUACACAAAAAAAUUAAAAAUACACAGUUUAAAAACAUACAUAAUGUAAACACAACAGUUCUCAUUAUAAUUUUCAUAGUAAUGCCAAUGAUUAUUUGGUCCCACAAUGCAGUACAAUCAGCCAUUCAGCAAUUAUUUUUUUAAUGAACAAUGUCAUACAUAUCCCUUGCCGUUUCAGUUACCCAAUGUAGUAGGAGAAGGUGAUGUGAUUUCCCAACAGUCCCCAAAUGGUAGUGUUCAAUUAUAUUUCAUACCUGUGGUCCGUCGAGAUCGAGGUUUUUCCUUCCCACAAUAUCCCACUUUCCCAGCAAACAAUCCCAUAUCAUGGCCUGUUGCUCCCGAGGCUUGGCUAGUGAGAAGAAUAUCUAGUCCUGUAUUACCGAACUUUAUUCAAGAACAAUUUACAAAUACAAAUGAUCCAUUCUUGAAAUCUUAUUAUGCUACAAAAGGAAUUCUCGAUAUUUCACCCCAAAACGGCUACUAUCAAAAGUUUCAUAAUGAUAAUGUGACUUCGACAACAGAUAUACAUUAUUUUUAUCCAAAGCUAAGACAAAGCAAUUUCAAAUAUUCUACAGGCGUACAAGUGGACAUUCCGCCAAAAGUCCAUAAAUAUACUCAAUAUGAAACUCAACAAUUUCCUGGUCAAUCACCGAGCAUAAAAGUGUUACGGCUGAAUAAAAAUGUGCGUCAUUACACAGCAGACACUACUGAAAGUGCCAUGUCAAUAGAUGAAAAACAUGAUAAACAACCCUUACAUAAACAUAAGAGAGGUAAAUCUUUGAAAAAAAAUACAAAAUCAACAGACACUCCGCACCCAGCUAAACAAACCUGUAAAUGCAAUAAGACCGAUAAGAAAAUAACGACUUAUUCAGAUCAAGCGUGCGGUUGUAUCGAUACAGAUGGCCGAGAAACACAGACCAAAGUAGAGAUGGCUAGUCAGAGUUCCUCUAAAUGCGAAUUAUCAGAUGUGAACACGGCCACUUCGUAUGAAAGUUGCUGUCAAGUAUGCAAACAUUGCAUAAAUGACUCCACUACCGACUUUUGUGAAUAAAUAAAUAAAAAAUCAGUCAGUUCUUCUUAUAAUACAUUUUAUUUCUUAGUACGACAUGUAUUUACAUUGAAUAGUACAGUAAUAAACAAAAACAAAACGAGA